CACAGCCCGCCCCGCCUCUGCCGACCUGGACCCGGUGCGCCGGCUCCCGCCUCCUAGGCCCGGACGACUGGGCUGGACACGCGCCCGGGGCCCCGGUCUUUCCAGCACACUGGGCUGCGGCGGUGGCGAAGGCCUUGGGUCGUGACCAGCGUGGGCAGAGCAAGCGACUGGGUUCCCGGCCCUCGAGGCAGGACGGCGUAAGUUCCCGAGAGGGACCGCCUCCCCUCACUCCCCGCCCCGGGAAGCGCUGCGCCGGCGCCCGGCGGUCCUCCGACUCGCCCAGCCGCGCUGCAGCCACUGCCCCGGCCGAUCGCGGGCGGAAAACGAAACCGCAGGCCGCUUCGCGGGCGCUUUUGUCUCCAGCGCUGCAAGCGGGACCCGGCGAGUGGCUUCAGUUCUUGCAGCGCCACGAACCGCGCAGGUUCCCCAGCAGGACGGCCGGUUCACUCAUUCAUGAAGGCGCACAAACACACACGCGUGCUUUAACGCGCGCUCGGAGCGCACACGCAGUGAUGCCCCAAGCGAAUUCCCAAAUGACCAACUCAGACAUACAAACUUACACCCAGUGCGCGCCCCACUCACGUACCCCAGGGUCCCAUCGGAGCUGCCAUUGCGAUCGCCCUCAAUCACACACACGCCACUCUCAGAUCUGAACUCAAACAGCGAGGUCUCCUCGGAGCCCCCUCCCCCCACUGCUCAACUCUGAAAUCCGCUUAGUUGGCCCCGCGGCCCCGAGUCCCCUUUUACAAGCGCAGGUUCUGAUUUCCUGAGAGAUGGCAAAGUCCGGGGCAGGAAGUUUACAAGGCUCAACGUAAACACGUUCCGGGGGAUCCUUUAAUAAUAAGAGUAGAGAAGCCUGCGGGCGCGGGGGGAGUUGGCCUGAUGCCCCUAUGGGCUCGGCCUGCCGCCGCCGCGGGGCCUCCGACACUGCACGCCAGGCCGGUUCCGGAAAGCGGGCGGCGCUGGCGGGGAGCGCGGCAGGGAGCGGCCCUGGCUGCAGGGUCGCGGCCGUGGAAAGCUGGUGCGGGGCGCAGCAGCGCGCGCGAGACCGGGCUGGAUUCUGCGCGCCCGAAGCCAGGACCCAUCUAUUAAAGGCUCGACCAUAUCCCAGUUCUGCCACAUAGAGGACCAAGUCUCCAUCACGUGAGCCUGGAGGAAGGGAAGUAUCAACUCCGGGGCCUCAGCCUUCCUGUCCACCUAAGGGCAGAAGUCAGGGACAGAAACAGAAUCAAGAAGCAUAUGGGACACACAUAGUCCAGGCAUAGGCUCCUGGGAGUCUUGAGACCUGCUCACAGGGCACAUCCACACAUGGAGGAAAAUGGCAAGACAGACCAACAGGUGAACAGGAUCCAGAGUGACAAGAGUCAGACCAGAUAUCACUUGAGGGGCCAAUAUUGGGGGAAAGUGCUGGAAGAUGAUGGUGAUUGAUGAUUUCUGGCUAGACCUUCCUGGAUCUGCAGAAGCAUUGAGCCAAUGUUUGCAGGCAUGGGGUGGUGGUCCCUACCGGGGGGAUGCUUUGGCUCCCAUCACUUCAUGCAGAAAGACUCACUUCUCACCUGUCCAGGCACCAAAGUCCAAGGACAAAAUGCAGACUUGCUUGUGUCCUGUUUCUGUAGAUGGUGGAGAGAGGGGUUGAGGUUGGGGUUCUGGAGGCACUGGAGGGAGCCCGAUGAACUCAGCUGUUCCACCAGAGGUGGACUCUGAGGCAGGUGUCAGCACUGGACCUGCCAUGGUUGCUGUCCAUCUGCCCUAUAGGCCCAGUCUUGUGCCACUGGGCAGGCCCGUGUCAGCCAUCAGGCCUGGCGCCUGGCUCCUCAGCCCGUGUACUUAUAUGUGUUGUUGAUUAGCAUUUGUGUUGACAUUCUCCAGGACCGAGCUUGCCAUAGUGACAGAGUCCCAGCCUCCACCACUGGCCUUUGUGCCCUUCUGGUAGAGCUGAGUCCCGCAUAUGGGAUGAUAGUGGGGCCAUCACACAUGCCACAGUGACAUGCUGAGCAUUUAUUAUGCACCAACAGCCUUCAGCCACUGUAAGUAUUAACUCCCUUAUGUAUACCCAGGGGCAGUUGUUACACACGUUGCUCAAAGUCACACGGCCAUUAUGCAGAGAAGCCCACAGGCAGGCAGAUGAGUCUCUAUGCCAUCUUGGAAUGUCACUUCUCUGUGUCACACUGUGCUGAUAGCCAGAAAGUGUCCGAAAACUUUUUCGUACAAUCAGGAGGGCAGAUCUUACCCAGUGGAGAGUUUGGUCCCAGGCUUCCUUCUCUGGAACUUUCUGAGGAGUCACCCCUGCUGAUCUUCUGGAGAAGCAUGGGAAGAAUUUCCUAAAUGCCAGUUUUGUUUCCUUCAAUCAGCUAUAGGUUGGCUUCGGGCUUUCCCAAAGACAGUGUAAAACCCGAGACUUUCUUCCUGCCAGAUUCAGCACAAAUCAUCUCUCAGUUAGGUUUUGGGGGCUCGUACCAUAGCUCUGGAUACCACAGGCCAGUGGCAUCUGGGGGAAUGCUGGACUGAGGUAGGAGUUCUAAAGCAGUGAACCAUGGGCAGCCCCACAGUGAGGGUGCAGCCUGUCCCCAAGUGCACCUGCAGGUGGUAACCCGGAUGCAGUUUCUGUGAUUGACGCUGCAGAGAUGAGAAGUCCACUCUCACCACAGAGCGUCCAGUGUUUAAUCUCAACCACGCAAAGCUCCUCUUUCAGAGCACAGGAAGAAAGGUGUGCCGCCUGGCCUGCUGGCUGGGCUUUCCCUCUGGGUACCUUGCUUCCAGUGUCCUCCCAGAAUGUGGGCUUUUCAGCAUCCCAGGGAGCACGAUGGCAUGAGCUCCUGUGUUCCACCCUGCUGGCCUUCUCCAGGCUCAGGCUGGGUCUCCUUGGGGACAGAGUCUGCGUUGCAGAUCAGUCUGGGAAACGUGAGUCUCCAGCAGAAUUCAGCGCUGGGGAAACCGCUGCGAAAUUACUCCCUUCCUUCUCUGGAGGCCAGUGGACAAGAGAGCAUUGUGUAGGGUCAAAGCCCUCCUGUCACAGAGGGGCCUUUUAGAGAAGCUGAUGGGGUGGGCAGGACCCCAGCGGCCUGGGCUCCUGGGAACAUGCCCUGUCUUCUAUGUGCACUGGGAGCUGCAUGUGUGUGUGCGUGUAUGUGCACGAGUAUGUCUGUUCAUGUGUAUGUGUGUGUACAUGUGCAUUCGUGUGUGCAUGUGUAUGAGUGUGUGUUUGUGCAUGUGUGCACACAUGUAUGUGCCCAUGUAUAUGUAUGUGUGCACAUGUGUGCAUGCAUGCACAUGUGUAUGUAUGUGUGUGUGCAUGCAUACGUGUAUGCUGGGGACAAGGAGCUGUGGGUUUGUGUAUUCCCUGUAAACUGGGAUAAAACAGCACUGACAGAUUUCUAACUGUUAGAAAGCUAUUUCCUUGUAGGACCAGACAUGGUAGGAUGGGUAGACAGUAUGACUGGAUUCCUGAAAGGUACAAGUAAGGCUGCCAGCCUCUGAGCUCCCAGUUCAUUUCUGGAGACAGACAAAUUAGGGGCAAGAAAUGUGGCCCCCUGGCCUGUGGACUCUGGAGCAGUCAGCCAUGUGACAAGUUGCCCAUCAAAAUACUCCUUCACCCUGAAAAGAGCCAGACACACGCUCCUGGGGGAGGGAGGACAGGCAAGCUAAUUAAAUUCUCUGAGUUGCUUUUGAGGGGCAGCAGUAACAGAAUGGUACUUGCCACCUUUGGGCAGCUCGUGUGGGUGACGUGAGACUUGCUGGGGCCUGGCUGGUGGCUCACAACCAUCUAAAAUGAGAUCUGAUGCCCUCUUCUGUUGUGCAGACAGAACACUGUACACAUAAUAAAUAAUAAAAUAAAAAAAUGCAUGUGGGUAUUGAUCCAUCCAGGGGGCAUGGGCACCAUGCAGCCACACCUUUGAGGAAAAUUGGCCCUCCUUUUCCAGCAGCCAUCAGUUGUCAGUGGGUUCUCACCUAGGGACGGGCUUUUAUGAGCCCCUCUCCUAUCCAUGCUGGGAGGCUGACUGGCUUGAUCCUGUGGAGGUCACCACAGCUGCUGUGAGUUGAUGAGUACAAAGGCCGUGUCGUGUCCAGAAGACACCAUGUCACAGCCCUCCCCCGGCCCGCAACUCUUUCAUUCUUCCUGACUCCUUUUCCACGAUGUUCCCUGAGUCCUGCAGGGAAAGGAUGGAUGUAGAUGUCCCAUUGAGGGUGAGAACUCAGCAGUCACUUAUCCUCAGCACUCUACCCAGUCACUAGUCUCUGCGCUAACCACUACACUGGAGAGAAGCUUCUCUGACCCAGGCUGAGAGCAGAGAUAGUUUGUGGAUACAGACAGAAAUACUUCGAAGGCAAUUUGGUAACAUGUCCAUUUAACAAAACAACAGCAUGACCUGUGACCUCCUACCCUCCAGCUUUUGACCAGGUGUACUCGACUUGGAUCCCUUCUUAUGAAGCAGACCUCAGAUCCCACCGGGAAACAGUUGGUUUACCCCAUGACUGCCAUGCCACUAUCGCACCAGCGGUCUCUAUUGAGGGUCAACAUGAUGGGAUUCACAAUCACCAUGGAAACAAGUCUCUGGGUAUGCCUGCCAGGAAGUUUCUAGGUUGUGGUCACCAAAGUGGGAAGAUCCACCCUGAAUGUUGGCAGCACCAUCUCAUGGUCUUGGGUCCUGGGCUGAAUAAAGGAAGAAGUGAGCUGAGCACCAGCGUUCAUCUUUCUUUGCUUCCUGACUGCGGAUGUGAUGUGACACACUCCUGUCUCUGUGCCUUCCCCGCCAUGAUAGACUCUGCACCCUCGAACUGUGAGCCACAAUAAAUCCUUCCUGCUUGAAGUUGCUUUUGUCAAGAAUUCUGUCAUAGCAAAGAGACAAUAACCAAUACACUGUAGACGUGUGCCUGUGCACAGUGUGCAGGGUGUG